rnacentral:rRNA from 1 species
AGAGCUCAAAUUUUAAAUCUGGCAGUUUCACUGUCCGAAUUGUAAAUUAGAGAAGCGUUUUCUGUGCUAGACCUGUCAUAAGUGAUCUCGAAUGAUCUAUCAGAGAGGGUGAUAAUCCCGUUCAUGGUCAGACCACUAGUACUCUAUGAUGCGCUCUCGACGAGUCGAGUUGUUUGGGAAUGCAGCUCUAAAUGGGAGGUAAAUGCCUUCUAAAGCUAAAUACCUUGGGAUGACCGAUAGCGAA